AAAAUGCGAUACGUAAUGCGAAUUGCAGAAUUCAGUGAAUCAUCAAAUCUUUGAACGCAAAUUGCGCUCUCGGGAUAGGCCUGGGAGCACGCCUCUUUGAGUAUCGUUUCAACCACAACUCGAAAGCGUGCUUUUGAAGCAUCGCUGACGGAAAUUGAGCGCUCUCGUUUUUCGAGACGCUUUAAAUGAAGCGAGUGGCAUGAUUUCCGACUUGAAAUCACAAUGUCUCAAGUGACGAGGAUAACUUCACAUUCAAUUGUGAACCCUUCCAUCGUGACUUCAGAGGCGUUUGUGUUUCGCUUCGGUGGUCGCAAUUGUCGCGGACCUCUGCGAUCCGUCUCCAAUGGCGAGCGCAGAACUCCUUUUGAACUAGAUCUCAAAUGAAGCGAGAAAACCCGCU
rnacentral:misc_RNA from 1 species